AUGGGUAACGGAGAGCAUAAAUCAGUAAAAUAGAAAGUUACAGCACCCCCAGUUAGAUGCCAAAUGAAAGAUUUUAUUAAUGUACUACAACAUAUUUAAUGACUCAAAGCACAAGACAAGUCCCUGUUGCAGAGUAGAUCAUGAAAGGGAUUUUUCUUUUCUGUUUUCCAGGCCUUGAUAAAAUAUAUUAAAAAAAUGCAAUUUUACAUGUUUGUAGACUGCCUAAAGAUGGAUCACAAAAGUAGAUCUUUCAGAUAAAUAUUUAAUCUUCCGAUCAGUGUGCCAUAUUUUCAUUCACCCCCAAAAAGUACUGUUUAGCUAGGAAAAGAAUCCUAAGCUGAUCCAUGCUGUACUUUUAAUCAAGAAAUGAUAAAAUCAAGGGCAUCAUGGAUUUACCCUUUGGGCUAUUGAACAGAACCAGUGCUGUACUGCUGUUAGAGCAUCCGCAACUGUUGCUAGCUCUUAUAUGCCAACUCAUCUAACAGAUAGCACUGAAGUCUACUUUAGCUAUGGUCAACAUAAUAUAAGAGAAACAAAUGGCCAGAGUUUAGUUUUGGUGAUCACAUAGGGUCAAGCUUCGCCUUAUAUUCUGAAAUGAAUGGAAUAUUAAAGUGUCACUCUUCUCAAGAAAAUGAAAGCGCAUAUAUCAUUUGGACAUGUAAAGUAAGGCUCUUCUGUUUUAGUAUAAUAAUAUGUUUGUACUAUUUUCAGCAAAUGGAUCAGAGAGAUCAUAAAGCAAUAUAGCUUAGUUUCUCAAACUGGGGAUUGGGGUAACCAAAUUUUGGAGGAAAUGGACUUGGACAAAGGAUGGCUAACACUUCGUUUAUGCAAAGGAAAACACCUACAGCUACAUGGAGAACCUAAUCGAAAGUAGGAUAACAGUGGUAACAAACAUCAGAAGGCAUCAGCCACAAACAACCAAGGAAUGCAGAUCAGCGGAUCCCCAUUUCCUGUACUCCCCAUGAUCAAGAGAUUGCAGCGGUGCUGACGUGCUGUUUAGCCGUAACCUUUCCCCCGUCCUUUUUGUUCCUAUCCUCUUCCGUGCAUCGAGUCUUUCAUGUCGGGAAUAAUUUGCUGACACGGACAUGGCACGUGGACAGUGCCGACUGCCGAGAACGCAAGAACCACCGGGCCACUGGAAAAAGCCACGAGAUGGACUUGCAGCUCCCCUUCUCCUGCCGCUCACGAUACCAGAUCAGCUUAACAGCGACAAGACACUAUCCUUUCGCUAGUCGUCAAGAACCCCAGAAGAUAAAGGAUGUUCCUGUUUUUUUUAAACAAAAAGGUGUAUGAACAAAUUCCAGAAAAGGGGUUCUCGGGAUACUCCUCUUCCAUUA